GGGCCGAUGAUGUGAACCAUGCUCCUACGGUCUAGACCUGUGGACAAUGAAAACAAUGAAUGUAACCUAGCAAUGCUUUGAGUCCC
rnacentral:snoRNA from 1 species